rnacentral:rRNA from 1 species
AUUGAACGCUGGCGGCAGGCCUAACACUUGCAAGUCGAGCGGUAGAGAGGUGCUUGCACCUCUUGAGAGCGGCGGACGGGUGAGUAAUGCCUAGGAAUCUGCCUGGUAGUGGGGGAUAACGCUCGGAAACGGACGCUAAUACCGCAUACGUCCUACGGGAGAAAGCAGGGGACCUUCGGGCCUUGCGCUAUCAGAUGAGC